UACGUAGGGUCCGAGCGUUGUCCGGAAUUAUUGGGCGUAAAGAGCUCGUAGGCGGUGUGUCACGUCGGCCGUGAAAACCUGCAGCUUAACUGUGGGCGUGCGGUCGAUACGGGCAUCACUGGAGUUCGGCAGGGGAGACUGGAAUUCCUGGUGUAGCGGUGAAAUGUGUAGAGAUCGGGAGGAACACCGGUGGCGAAGGCGGGUCUCUGGGCAAUUCCUGACGCUGAGGCGCGAAAGCCAGGGGAGCAAACGGG
rnacentral:rRNA from 1 species